CGUAGGGGGCGAGCGUUGUCCGGAUUUAUUGGGCGUAAAGAGCUCGUAGGCGGUUCGGUAAGUCGGCUGUGAAAUCUCCACGCUCAACGUGGAGGGGUCAGUCGAAACUGCCGUGACUCGAGUCCGGUAGAGGAGUGUGGAAUUCCCGGUGUAGCGGUGAAAUGCGCAGAGAUCGGGAGGAACACCCGUAGCGAAGGCGGCACUCUGGGCCGGUACUGACGCUGAGGAGCGAAAGCGUGGGGAGCAAACAGGAUUAGAUACCCUGGUAGUCCACGCCGUAAACGUUGGGCACUAGGUGUGGGGCUCUAUCGACGGGUUCCGUGCCGUAGCUAACGCAUUAAGUGCCCCGCCUGGGGAGUACGGCCGCAAGGCUA
rnacentral:rRNA from 1 species